rnacentral:rRNA from 1 species
UUUGCCUACGGGGGGCAGCAGUGGGGGAUAUUGCACAAUGGGGGGAACCCUGAUGCAGCGACGCCGCGUGGGUGAAGGAGUAUUUCGGUAUGUAAAGCCCUAUCGGCAGGGAAGAAGCAAGACGGUACCUGACUAAGAAGCCCCGGCUAACUACGUGCCAGCAGCCGCGGUAAUACGUAGGGGGCGAGCGUUAUCCGGAUUUAUUGGGUGUAAAGGGCGUGUAGGCGGGAAUGCAAGUCAGAUGUGAAAACUAUGGGGUCAACCCAUAGGCUGCAUUUGAAAAUGUAUUUCUUGAGUGCUGGAGG